rnacentral:rRNA from 1 species
GAGUUUGAUCAUGGCUCAGAUUGAACGCUGGCGGCAGGCCUAACACAUGCAAGUCGAACGGUAACAGGAAACAGCUUGCUGUUUCGCUGACGAGUGGCGGACGGGGGAGUAAUGUCUGGGAAACUGCCUGAUGGAGGGGGAUAACUACUGGAAACGGUAGCUAAUACCGCAUAACGUCGCAAGACCAAAGAGGGGGACCCUCGGGCCUCUUGCCAUCGGAUGUGCCCAGAUGGGAUUAGCUUGUUGGUGGGGUAACGGCUCACCAAGGCGACGAUCCCUAGCUAGUCUGAGAGGAUGACCAGCCACACUGGAACUGAGACACGGUCCAGACUCCUACGGGAGGCAGCAGUGGGGAAUAUUGCACAAUGGGCGCAAGCCUGAUGCAGCCAUGCCGCGUGUAUGAAGAAGGCCUUCGGGUUGUAAAGUACUUUCAGCGGGGAGGAAGGGAGUAAAGUUAAUACCUUUGCUCAUUGACGUUACCCGCAGAAGAAGCACCGGCUAACUCCGUGCCAGCAGCCGCGGUAAUACGGAGGGUGCAAGCGUUAAUCGGAAUUACUGGGCGUAAAGCGCACGCAGGCGGUUUGUUAAGUCAGAUGUGAAAUCCCCGGGCUCAACCUGGGAACUGCAUCUGAUACUGGCAAGCUUGAGUCUCGUAGAGGGGGGUAGAAUUCCAGGUGUAGCGGUGAAAUGCGUAGAGAUCUGGAGGAAUACCGGUGGCGAAGGCGGCCCCCUGGACGAAGACUGACGCUCAGGUGCGAAAGCGUGGGGAGCAAACAGGAUUAGAUACCCUGGUAGUCCACGCCGUAAACGAUGUCGACUUGGAGGUUGUGCCCUUGAGGCGUGGCUUCCGGAGCUAACGCGUUAAGUCGACCGCCUGGGGAGUACGGCCGCAAGGUUAAAACUCAAAUGAAUUGACGGGGGCCCGCACAAGCGGUGGAGCAUGUGGUUUAAUUCGAUGCAACGCGAAGAACCUUACCUGGUCUUGACAUCCACGGAAGUUUUCAGAGAUGAGAAUGUGCCUUCGGGAACCGUGAGACAGGUGCUGCAUGGCUGUCGUCAGCUCGUGUUGUGAAAUGUUGGGUUAAGUCCCGCAACGAGCGCAACCCUUAUCCUUUGUUGCCAGCGGUCCGGCCGGGAACUCAAAGGAGACUGCCAGUGAUAAACUGGAGGAAGGUGGGGAUGACGUCAAGUCAUCAUGGCCCUUACGACCAGGGCUACACACGUGCUACAAUGGCGCAUACAAAGAGAAGCGACCUCACGAGAGCAAGCGGACCUCAUAAAGUGCGUCGUAGUCCGGAUUGGAGUCUGCAACUCGACUCCAUGAAGUCGGAAUCGCUAGUAAUCGUGGAUCAGAAUGCCACGGUGAAUACGU